UAUAGUCUUCAUUCUUUUUUAUUUGUAGGCACUGGUUUGGCUUUUGGACAUGGCAUUGUUUUGGAUGGGUAUGGAUUUGAUGAUAAGGUGGCUUAGAUCACAUUAACAUGUUUUCACAUAUAUGAGUGAGCUGUGGUUUUUGAAUUUAGCUGUAAAGACUUCAAGAAAGUGGCCAAAACUUCGCUCGGACUAGAUGAUAACUCUUGCUAGAUGAAUUCAAGAGAAGGGAACUUUCAGGAGCAAAAAUAAGAAAACUGAGGACUCAAAUAUUGAACGAAGAUGGGCUCAAAUAGGGAAGUGACUUAACUCUUUCUUUCUCUCUCUAUUCUAUACAUCAUGCAUAAGUCCACUUUUAGGAUAAUACAAGUAGACUACAACACAACAAAACAUUAGAAUUGUGGGUUAAAGCACCAUCACUUGUUUGUGAUUUUUUGAAUGUUAUUUUGUUUUUGAUAUUUGUUUUUUUUGGUGACUGCAGUAAAAUCAGUUUCAAAAACUGUUGGUUACUUUAUAAGAGGGUGUUGAAACAGAAAUGCUCACCAUGUCCAGGUAAGUAGUCACUUGUUAGUUGUAAGUACUCAUCUAUCUAAGGUGGAGCGUAACAUGUUUUGAAACUCUAUGGUUAAAGUAUGGUUAACUGUAACUGUUCUUUUUCAUUGUGUUUUUCUAAGCAGGAUCUCAUAAAACCAAAGCAGAAUGAGAUUUUUUUAAACCAAAGGGCUUUAACUCGGGCUUCAUGAAUUCAGUAUAUAUGUAAGUUACUUGAUCAGCCAUGGGUAAGUAACUCAAACUCCCUCUCGUCCAUGUCUCUACUUUAUAGCCUUAUGAAUAAGUUCUUUAGCAUGUUGAUGGGCUAAAAUUUGCCUGACCUAUUUGGUUAGAACACCAAACUUGCAGUUUAUAAAACCACAAAACACAGCACAACAAACAAUCCAAACGGAAACAUAUAACUACACAAAACACAA